CCCACCCCCCCGGAGACCGGUCCCUCCCUCUCAGUCUCAGCCUGCCUUCCACAAGGCUUCAGCUGUCAACCUUCUCUGGACCGCUCUGCACAGACUCCCUGUUAAGUUUGCUGUCAGCCUAGACCAGAACUGGAUCUGAUAAGCUUAGUCUUCACACCUUAUCAAGAAACCUCUCUACUACAGAGACCACUACAAGAAACUACAGUAAUCAAAAUGCAGAGUUGUGAUCGUUAUGGGUUAUGGGGAAACAGAUAUCUUAAACUGCAACCAUGUUGUUCUCCAUCUUGGCUGAUUACCUUCAAGAUCUAAGCAGCAACAUGACUGGUAGCCAUCUUUACUAAGGUUAAAGAGUACAUGCCAUUUGACUUCAUCAUCUUAAGGUGACUAUAAAGCAACAAUUAUAAAACUUCUUAGACCACUGAGCCCUUAGUUUAUCAUGGUAUCUCCUAUUAGACUUGUUGUGGGGAGGGGUCUAUGGGUCUAUCCAUGAACCACACAAACACCAAUUUCAGUAAGACAGAAAUGGUUUAUGGAAUGCACAUCCUAAUACUGAUCAGAUCAGGGGCCUAGUUCAGUGGGGGCUGAGGCUAUGACAACAAAUAUUUCCCAGGGGAGACUUAGAAAGGAAAACACCACAAAAUUCACAAUGAGCUCAUAGGAAGACACGGGAAGUGCUGUCUGGUGCUCAGCUCUGACUCAAGCCAUUUUAGAUAUAACUAUUCAUAUUACCCUUUAAUUUGAUGGGUUCUAUGCAAAACUUUGUGAACUUUCUUAAAAUUAACAAACCUUAGAAAAUAAAGAACAUAACAGGGUAUGUGCUCAGCAUAACCUUGCUCUGAGUCAAGUUAUUUUUCCUGCAUCAAUGACUGACAGGCAUAUUACAACAAUAUGAAAUAGCUGGCAGGCAUAGAACAAAAUGGCUACAAUUAUGCUGGGGGUGGGUGGGCCAGACCUCAACCAGACUAAGAAAGUAACAACAAAUCUCAAAUAUUGUGGGUUAGUAUGGACUUUUGUAUGGUUAUAAUUUAUAACAUACAAUAUAUGUGAUUCAACGGUGAUUUUCAGCAUACUCUACAUGGGGAUAAGCUUUUUAGUUUAUAAACACCUGUUCAGAUUUUAAUAAGGUGAUUUAUGAUGUAUGUUUAACUACUUAUGUCUUUGCUAACUGUUUAAUACCAAGUUGCUAGAAAAUUUAGAAAGGUAACAGGUUUGGUAAGUAUGGUAUAUUUGAUAAAUAUUUGUUUGAUUAAAUAAGUUAUAUUUGAUAAUAUUUAUAAAUUCCUAAGUUCUAUUCAGGCUCAUAGUGAUAUUUUUCUAGCGUCUCUUUCUUUGUUCAAUUUAAGCUUUAGAUAUUUGGAAGAACUAAAUCAUACAAAACUGCAAUCAAUAUCCUCUAAGGGUGUAUCUAGUAUCCCAAGAAAAUUCUUAUCCCAAGGUGUGGCAUUUGCCUAGGACCUUGAGUAAAGUUUUUGCCUCCUAAGAAAGUGAGACAUUUUCCUUAUUUCUGGGAAGAGGAAUGUGAGACCCUUUCAUCAACAUAUGACUAUGGUGCCUAUUGUCAAGGUCAAUGCUAGCCUCUAGACUCCCUCAGUCCCUGGUUAUAAGCUCCUCCUCAGUUUACAGCAUUGGCAGUUUGAAAUAACCUUUUUCCAUUUUCACGCAAUGAGUGUUUGAUUUCUUUUCUGUGUCUUUUUUCAGGAUCAGUAAAGAUUCCAGUCUCCCUAUGGAUCUUAUCUAUGAUUAAAACUUUUGUUUUGGUACUAAAAAAGCUUCAAUUCAAAAUUGUUAUUUUCAAUGAGCAAACUAAAUAGGAAUAAACCUGCAAAAUUCUAACCUUAUAUAACCUACUAAGUAGUUGUUAAGGAUAAUUAAGAUAUGCAAGGGAAUGGUCAGUCACCAUAUAAAUGAUCAAAUUGUUUAAUGUGUUCAGAAGUAUACUUGUAGUCAUGCCAAGUACUGAUAUAAUUUAUUACAAGAAUAAACUUUAUUUAGCCUCCUGUAUGUGUUCUCAAAGUUAAGGCUAAAGUAAGCAACUGGAAAUAAGCAAAGUUUUUCUAUUUAGAUAAAUUCAAUAAAUGGUCCUCAAAUGCUUCAGAGAUCUGCUGAAUAUGUCAUUUAAAAUAUUUUAUUAAAAAAACUUUUCAUAAUAUAGAGAAAAGUCAGUUCCUAGCAGCAUCCCUAAUUUCCUCCAAAGAAGAUAAUGGGCACAGAACAACAUCACCUGGAGCUUAUUUUAAGUGUGGCAAACUUUGCCAUUGGGAAAAAUACCUUUGCUGCUGGCAGCACACUCUCCAAAGAGUGGACAAGGAAGAAAAUGGGAAAUUGAUUGUGCUGCUUUGCCUUGACAAGAUACAGCACUCCUUGUAAGUUCCUACUAAACAGAACGUCUGACAGCUCUUCUAGCUGUGGCAGUCGAAGACUUAUUAUCCCUCUACUGACCAUGGAGUGUUGGGGGCCAUGCAAGAGGAACAGCAAAACAGUUUCAAAACCAUGGAAUGCAGCCCACAGGUUAGCAAAACCACAAUAUUUGUACCUCAGAGAGUCAGAGCACAGUGGCUACAUGCCCUGAGGACUUCAUGCUGUUGUGGAGUUUUGCUCUGCUUGUUUCUGUCACAUCCUUCUCAAUCUAAGAUUGUAUGAAACUCUAAGGGGGCUUUCAGCUCCUCACUGGGCAUUUACAGUAACAGUGGUUGAUCUUUUUCAAGCAUUGUUGCUAGAGCAGCUUGAUGUUUCAAUCACCACUUUUGGAAAGAUUUGAGAUGUAGACUUUUUAAGGUCAGGGAAUAGGAACAAUGUCAGUCUACGUAGUACUUUCAUGACUUGUUUGUUGAAAAUGGACAGGGGUUGGGGAUUUAGCUCAGUGGUAGAGCGCUUGCCUAGCAAGCGCAAGGCCCUGGGUUCAGUCCCCAGCUCCGGAAAAAAGAAAAAAAAAAGAAGAAGAAGAAAAUGGACUGGUGCUCAGGUAAUGAUUAAUUUCUUGUACUCUGUUUUGCCCUUAGCUACCUGAUAUGAUUUAAUACAUAGCUCCAUCUACCAAAUGUGUACGUACAUACAGUGGUCGGAGUUUGCUUCGUCCACCAAGUACAUGUGUGUAUGUCUGCUUCACAUUGUUGCAGAUCCCAUAUCCCUACCUUGGAUCUCUGAAGAUAUUGGUUGGAGCUGGCCUUUGACCCUGGAGGAAUCUAGGGUGACUCUCCAGGUGGUUGGGAUAAUUUCAGAAGCAGAAAAUGAAAGGAUUUCAAUGGAUUCAAAUGUAACAUUUUCCAUAAAAAUAAUGGAUAUGACCACUGACCUGAGACAUAUUUCCAGGAAAAUCAGCCUUUUCUUGCUGUUUCUUUUAUUUGUAUUUGCUUCAGUAAGGAUGGAUAGCUGGUUUGCUGCCCUUUCAUGUAAAGGAGUCAAAAGAAAAAGCAAAACAUAAUGAAUGCUGUUAAAGAACAAUGUCAGAUACACGAAAAGGCCCAUUAAAGCAACAGAAUUCUACCAGGUAUCCUGUCCAGUUAAUGAUCCCAAAGCCAGGAUAGCAUGGAAUGACAUUUAAAGCUUGGACAGAAAAGCACCAUCAAUAAUAUGGCUGCACGCGGAAACAAACAAACAAACAAACAAAAACCUCUCUUAGAGUUGAUGGGGCCACGAGUGCAUUUGAAGAUAGUCAUGAAUUAAAACAAUUAACUUCACUAAAGAAUCACAGUACAUAAUAAAACUGGAGGCAAAAUACACACAGGAGAAUCAGAGGAAUUGUGCAUGAGAACAUGACAAAGAAUACAUUUCAUGUGAAGAAUAGAUAGAUUCAGGAGAAGUAGGAAAUAGUCAUCCUUGUUCAAGACAGUAAACUACUAAUUCUCACAGUAGAGAAGAAUGCUACCAUUAAUCUAGCCAGAAACAACAAAAACCCACAAUCAUGUGGAAUAAAGACAGUAUGAACAAAAAAAAUCUAGCCACUUUGAAAAUCAAAAUGGAGAUCCCUCAAUAAGUAAACCCUUAUGUUAAACAAAUAGAAGUUCUACUCUUUGGCACAUGUGGGGCAUAUGGACCAUGCUUCCUGAGGAACUGAUAGGGAAUAGUGGAGGUGGAGUAUGCCCAAUCCCCAAAAAUCUAAAAAAUUGAGAUUAGAAUCUCAUCCUGAGACUGGUUGGAGUGGGGCUAAUGCCCUCCCUGUUCCUAUGACUGCCACAAAGCAUAUAACUCAGAGUGCCCCCUCCCCAACCAGGUGGUUACAACUAGUCAACCACUAUUACAGCAUUUGGACUAGUUCUCCAUGUUAAUGAGGCAUCUCAGAAAUUUAGCUUUUAGCAAAUGACUUUUUUCCAUCCUGAAUAUUCGAACCCAAAAGCUAUAUAACCCUUAGUUCACACCGAAUAAAGUGAAUGUGUUCAAACUCAUCUCCAAUAAAGAAAGAAGAACAAUUUAAGCUCAUGUCCAAGAGUUUCUUCAUUAAAGACUUUGGAGAAGGCCUUCACCUAAAGGAACUGUGUCCCUAAGACUCUGAAAGAAGGCCUCCUUCCCAGACCCCACUGACUCCUAACUGGACCUUGAUAAUGCUCUUCCUGGCUCUGUUUCACCUGCUCCUGGUCAGGCUGGCCACAGCAUCUAAUGCCCAAGAGGGAAGGGGCAAACUGCAGAUCCCACCCAUACCGACGUUGCCCUGCCCUCUCCUAGCUGGUGGCCUAGCAGUGGUGUACCAGUGUAUGGCCAGGCAAUGGCUUCUGGACAAUUGGAGAGGAGAGGUGGAACCAGGUAGCAUAGAUAUAUUCUGAAAGGCUUCAACAUCCUGCUACACCCAUCCGUGUUCAUUGCUGCUAUAUUUAAAAUAGCUACAAAAAGAGAAAUAACCUGAACAUCCUUCAUCUGAUAAAUAGAUAAGGAAAAUUAAAUAUAUAUAUUUUGUAAUAUUAUUCAGCUGUAAAGAAAACUGAAAUAAUGAGAUUUGCAAGUAAAUGAAUGAACCUAGAAAAGAACAUAUUGAGUACAGUAACCCAGACCCAGAAAGACAUUACAUUCUUCACAGGAAGGUCCUAGCUCCAAAUCUUCAGAUGUGAGUUGACAGCCUGGAGUAAAUACAGUAACUCAGGAAAGAAAAAGAGACCACUGUGGCAUGUGGGGAGAGAGUAAUAAAAAGGGAAAAACAGAGCAAAAGAGGUUUGAAGAAGGAAAUAGAAAGACACAGAAAGGAUUUAAUUUGGAGAAGUGACAGAUAUAAACACAGAAUAACAGUAAAGAUUGUUUGAAAUAGUUAUAAGGAAUCACACUUUUAUUCAUCUAGGAAAAAUCCAUAUACACAUAUAAAAAACACUCAAGGGGUGCAAACUGGUACAGCCACUUUGGAAAUCAAUUUGGUGUUUUCUCAAAAAAUUGGAAAUAAUUCUACCCCAAGACCCAGGCAUACAAGUACUGAGUAUAUCCCCUUAUGGUGCCCCACUAUACCACAAGGAAACUUGCUCAACUAUGUUCAUAGAAGUUUUAUUUUUAAUAGCCAGAACUGGAACCACCUAGAUGUACCACAACUGAAGAAUGUAUAAGGAAAAUGUGGUACAUCUACACAAUGGGAUACUAUUCAGUUAUUACAAAUAAAAAUUCAUGAAAUUUGCAGGCAAAUGGAUGGAUCUAGAAAAUAUCAUCCUGAGUGAGAUAUAAUUCAAACUCUGAAAGACAUGCAUGGUAUGUACUCACAAAUAAAUAUUAGCCAUAAAAUAUACAAUAACAAUAUUACAACUCAUACACCCAAAGAAACUAAGUAAGAAGGAGGGUCGAAGGGAGGAUGCAUGAACUUCAUUUAGAAGGGAAAACAAAAUAGUCAUCAGAGGUGGAUGAAGGGAGGGACCAGGGUAGAAGAGGGGGAAAAGAGGGGAAUGGGGAUGGGAUCAGUAAUAGGGAGAUGUGUAUGGGAGAGGGCUAUGAGUGAGAACAGCAAACCAUGGGGGACAUUUCUGGGAGAAGCUAGAAACUUGGGGCCAAGGAGGUUCCAGGAAGUCCAUGGGAUUGGUCUUAGCUCAGACUCCAACCAUUGGGUUAAAUGGAGACUGAAGUGGCCACCUCCUAUAGCCAAGUGGGGGAAGGGAGACAUCAAACCAUCCACAAAGCCUUCAACCCAAAAGUUGUCCUGCUAACAAGAUAUGCAGGGAUAAAGAGAAAGCUGAGAUUGAGAGAAUGGCCAACCAAUGACUGGCAUAACUGGUACCCCAUCCCAUGUAAGAGAGCCAAUUUCUGACACUAUUAAAGAUACUCUGAUAUGGUUGCAGACAGGAGCCUAGCAUAACUGCCUCCUAAGAGGCUUCAUCCAGUUGGGUAUGGAAACAGCUACAGAGACCAACAGUCAAAUAUCAGGCUGUGCGCACGGAGUCUUGUGGAAGAGUAGGGGAUAGGAUUGAGAGAGCCAGAAGAGUCAACCAACUAACCUAGGCCCAUGGAGUCUCACAGAGUCUGAAGUACCAACCAAAGAACAUGCAGGGUUGAAAGUAGGUCCUCUACACAUUUGUUGCAUGUGUGCAGCUUGGUUUUCAUGUGGGUCCCCUAACAAUUGGAGUGGAGGCUGACUCUGACUCUGUUGCCUGCCACUGAAUUCUCUUCUCCUAACUGGACGGUAUAGUUGAGUCUCAGUGGGAAAGGAUGCCUUAGGCCUACUGUAUGUCCCAGGGUGGCUUGGUACUCAAGGGGGGUCCCACUCUUCUCUGAAAAGGGGAGGGGUAAUGAGGGAAGGGACAUGUAAGGGACUGGGAGGAGAGAAGGGAUGAGGGGCAAUCUGAAUGUAAAACAAAUGAAUAAAAAAAUUGAUGGAAACAUAAGUGCAUUUGAAGAUAGUCAUAAACUGACACAACUCAAUUCACUAAAGUGGUAAAGUACAUAAUAAAUUAGAGGCAAAAUGUACACAGGGGAAUCUACUACACAGAUAUGUGUUCACCCAAGCUCACUGCAGACAAAAUCAAAUAGCUUCAAAAGGCAAACAAUCAAAACUCACUUCAACUGAUAAAUGUAUAGUGAAAAUGUGGUACAUAUACACCAUGCAAUAUUAUUUCAGUGUAAAGAAAAUUGAAACCAUGAACUUUACAUGUAAAUGGAUACACCUGGAACAGAUCAUAGGAGUGACAUAACCCAGUCACAGAAAGACAGAUUGCCAUGUUUGCUCUCAAAUGAAAUUCCUAGUUCACUUAGUACACCUAAAGUAAAUGUGGUAACCCAGGGAGGAAGGAAAUAAAGAACACUGAGGGAUGUGUGGGAGUAAUAGAAGAACAACAGCAAAGAAGAGAUUUCAGUAAGGAAAUGAAAACCAUGGAAGGGAUUUAAUUAGGAAGAAGAGACAGGAAAGAUGUUUCAAAUAGUCAUAAGGAAUCAUCUUUCUCCAGACAGCAAAAAAGCCAAUGAUACAUAUACCUCUGUGUAUGCAUACACAUUUAAAGUGUAAAUAAAAACUUUGAAUCUGGGCUGAUGAUGCUCCUUACAAGUGCCACAAUAUUCUAACAAAAUGGCCCACACCAGGGGUGAGAGUCCUGCUUUGAAGUUGUUGGUCACAGCUGUCCAGGAGACUCCCAAAACAUUAUAGGCUAUGGCUGCUACCCAUGGUUGUGAGCUAGGUGAGUCGCUAUUAUUGAAGAAGCUGUGUACUUUGGACAGAGAUUUCGAAGGACAUGAGAUGGAUCUGACCUUAAAGCCUCCUGGAGACUAGUCCUUCCCAGCUGAAGGAUAAUCCUACAGGCACAAGUAUGGCAUACAUACUUUGGUGGCAACCAACAGCUUUCUACUUGGACUUAGGAUCCUCUCAUCAAGAGGGAAAUCAUACUUGGUUCUGGAAAACUAGCCAGUUUCCCUAGGGUUAGCUGUUGCUAUAAAAUUAUAAAAAAUAAAAGGCUGUCUUUUUCCCCUGCACUAGGUCCUGCACCGUAAUGCCUCAAGAUAUCUGGUAGAUAUCUUCAUCUCAGUCAGCAAAGUGUCUUACCCGCUUUGCUCUAUCCCAUAUCACACUACGGAUGGCUUCUCUCAGAGCCUGGCAACAGUUUCACUACCCAUCUAGUUCUCAAGGCAGGUUGUCACCAUGCCAGAAAUAUACAUCCCAAUUCCAUGGCAGCCCAGUGUCUCCAGCCACCACAUACUUUUUUGAACUUAUUUCACCACAUGAAAGAAAACGCAAGACAAUAACCUCUGGUCCAAUUGAUAAUAUAUAAUUGCCCACCUAGACACAGAAAGUCCUGUACACAUCCAUUCCUUAAGAAUAUUCAUAACAACCUGUAAAGGUGCAGAGAGGAAUCUUAACAUCUGCCUCCAUGUUCUCCCUGUCACUUCUCUCCUCCCUCGCUCUAGUCUCCUCCUCUUUCCAAAACUUUUCUUCCGCCCAUCCUUCCUUCUCGUCUGAUGACAGGCCUUGUUCUAUCUUGUACCUGCCUUCACCUGUAUGACGUCAUCCAAUAGUUAGUGAAGUAAAGGAUCUUGGAAAAGAACCUACAACCACUAGUUUACUCAAUCAGCAUAACCCUCACUAUAUUCUAAAUAUUUCUCCUCAUUCCAACAGAUAAACAUAGCCGUCACUCCUCAUCAAAUAAAGUUCAUUUUGUAAUCAUGAAGAUUAUUACACAAAACACACAUUAGUCAAAAUGCAGAGCUGUGAGUAUGGUCAGUCCCAACUGAUACAUAAACAACCCAACACCUGCACUACGGUUCAGGGCUCACUGAGAAAGAGAGGCAGGGAUAUUGUAAAAACCAGAGGACAUUGUGACAUUGUGUCUCCUGGAAAUGUCAAAGAAGCUACAUGCAUGAAAUCUUACAAACAUAGCUGUCUAAAACAGAACUGAACAAGGACGAUGCUAAGAGACAAGCUAUUGUGGAAGGGAGAAAGCUCACUAAUCUUUAAGCCUAAUACUAAGGCCUGAAUUUGAAUACUAAGGAAUUCUGAGAGGUAGAGAAAAAGCCUUCCCCAUAGAAUAGUACACUACAUGUUUAUACCAAGUAUUCAUCACUGAAUAUAUACAGACUAAGUAGGUUGUACCUUUGUUUCAGAAUUCACACUAACAUACAACAAUAAUGAAAGAAAAAGUUAAGAAAUAAUACCUGGUUCGUUUCCGGCUCGAAGGACUUCGUGCACUACUUGUUGGGGAUUUAGCUCAGUGGUAGAGCGCUUGCCUAGGAAGCGCAAGGCCCUGGGUUCGGUCCCCAGCUCCGGGGGAAAAAAAAAGAAUAAGGAUUGCAACCAGAUAUGUGCGCACAGAAGUCAACACUUCAACAAUACAAGGACAAUCUUUAGGGGGCUGGGGAUUUAGCUCAGUGGUAGAGCGCUUACCUAGGAAGCGCAAGGCCCUGGGUUCAGUCCCCAGCUCCGAAAAAAAAAAAAAAAGAAAUAAUACAUGCCUAUGUAAAGAGAAGAUUUUUCCAUCAUCUACAUAAAAAUGAGCAGAAUGGUUUUAUACUAUUUUGUACUAUUGCUACUCAAAUAAAUAACUUAAUAGACAGUGAGUCAGAGAUGGCUUAAUGGUUAAGAGCACCUGUUGUUCUUGCAGAGACCCAAGAUACAUUCCUAAAACCCACACUGUGGAUCCCAACUACAAUUCUAGGAUGUAAAGGAUAUAUAGUUAUUCAUGCAAGAAAACACUCAUAUAUAUAUAAUAUGUAAACAUAAAUAAAAACCCUGAAUAUUAAAUAAAAAUUAGGAAAGAAAGAAAAAGAUUAAUAGAAAAGAUAGAUAGAAAGAAACAAGACAUAAUCCUCGAGUGAAUUUACUAGGUAGAUGAAAAGUCUCUACAAGGACAAUGUGAUUGAAGGAAGUGAAGGUCUGUAAAAUGAAAAAUUGCUGAAGGAACUGAGGAAAAUGUGAACUAGAGCACAUAAGUGUUUUACAAAAAUUAAAAAGGAACACAGUGUUAUGAAAUAUGUAGUAUUUCUGAAAGUCAUUGAUAUUGUCAGUUUUGAAAAUCCAAAAAUCCAUGGGACCAGCAAUAAUUAAAAGUAUUAAGAGAACAGGUGUACUUCUUAGCUAUAUAUUUAUAACAUAAUUGAUAAAAACACAGGAUCUAUCAAAAAUUACCAAGGAAGAAAAUUAUAAGAUAAUCAAUAAAUAAGCAACUGAGUUGAACACACAAUGCUUAACAGCAGUUAAAAUGGCCAAUAUGUACAUAUUAAAAACUUCUUCAUUGUAGGGCAUAGGAUACUGUAUGGACAUUCCAAUUCCGCCUAGAAAGUGUCCACACUUAAGACCCUAAACAAUAACAAAUUCAUUUAUUUUAGUAUAUUUAAAAUGUAAAUGGAUAAUAUUCUUGAAGCAAAUAAUGUAAACAGAAUACAGCUCUUAAAAAAGAAAAGAAAAUGACUUUAAAAUAUAAAUUUUCUUCUAUAAACUGAUUUCAUAUCCAAAGAUUCAAGAUACUGUAAAAUAAGGAAUUUCCUUUAAACGCCCUGACUAUGGAAAGCAGUAAAAUCUUAUUUGGAUAUUUUACAGAAAGUCAUCCUGAAAGUACCAAGGAACAGCACAGAGCAGGAAAAUACAAGGAGGAUCACACCUAGAGCUGAUCUCACAGUAUAUUACAGUCACAGCAAUGGAAACCACUUGGAAUUGUUGUGACAACAGGCAAUAGGAGAUGUCCCUGGGAAGAUAGGAUAGUGUUUACCUGUCUGCAAAUGUAGCUCCUGAUUCUUAUCAAACCUGUGUUUGUAUUAUUUUCAGGAAUCGGGAAGUUAACACCAAAAUGUAGAGAAUGUGCUAGAAUACCAAAAGCCCCUCAAUCUCAAAACAAUAUAAAUACACCUAGAGUUAUUUUCAUCAUUUUAUAAUACAUUAAAAUCACUGAAAUGAAAACUAUUUAAUAAUGGUGUGUAGACCUGAUCAGUGAUGCGCAUAGAAUAAGGAUGGCAUCACUCACAUGCACAGUCAGGUAAAAUUUUAUUGCCUCCGAGUAUCAGUUCUUCUGUAGAAAGUCUUCUCAUCUCUACAGUAGGAUAACCCUGAGAUUUUUCUCAGAGGAAGUCUCCAGGAUUAUUUCUACUGAAACAGACUGUGGCAAAACUGAUUUCAUGUCCCACUUUUACCUGAACCCCUUGCCAUUCCUUCACCCAUCCUCCAACAUACCAGGAUUCUUAGCUACUGUCUCCUGUCUCUCUGUAUUCUAGGGCGCUUGUCCUGCUCCACAGGUGAGCAGAUGUGAGUGAUCAGUGAGCUGUGUACAUGAGAACGAGAUUCUUCUGAAUGCCCCUGGAUUUCUACCACAGAACUGUGCUCAGUAGAUAAAGAGAGGAUUUUAGGGGGCUGGAGAGAUAGCUCAGUGGUUAAGAGCACUGUCUGCUCUUCCAGAGGUCCUGAGUUCAAAUCCCAGCAACCACAUGGUGGCUCACAGCCAUCUGUAAUGAGAUCUGAUGCCUGCCCUCUUCUGGUGUGGUGGUGGUGAAGAGAGCAACAUACAUAAAAUAAAUGAAUAAAUGAAUGAAUAAAUCUUUAAAAAAAAAGAGGAUUUUACAGUGAACCCCCAAUACUGAAAAUAUUUAGAAUUCAUUGCCACUUGGCAUGGCGGAAACCCACAUCCAUUCACAGCUCAGUUAAAACUGAACAGAAGUAACGGAACUGAGUGACUGUGCUGACAGCACUACACUAGUGAGGUUCUGAAUGUACUGUGAACCUAGCAAGACUUUGUCAUGAAGGGAUCACACAGAUGUACACUUGUUUUCCCAGGACCCUGAAGGGGAAUAAGGUAGAGAGCAAGCAAAAUAUUCUCUCUCACACACAAAAUCCAGACUGCUUCAAUUCUGCAAUACCCACUCUUUGUACACAAUCUUCUGAGGAGGGUGCAGGCAUUGCACCGCUUCUUGGGAGAAAUUCACAGUCACACCAUAGUCAAGUGACAACGUAAAAGAAAAAACAAACAAACAAAAACACUGCAGUUUUAACAGUUGUUUUGGUGCACACUUUUAGAUCCCAUUACAUUUACAGCCACUGCUGUUACAACUAGUAUCUAAAAGCUCUCUGGGGUUGGGAGUGUGGGGGGUGGGGAUGCUGAGUCACCAAGUCCCCUGGUGUGGUGUAACAAGAGAGUUAGGGUGGAUGAAUGUAAAUUAUAAGAACUUUGUCUUUUUCACCUAAACAAAGUGAACUGCAUUUAAAUAUCAAUAGAUAAAUUCAAAUAUUCUAAAAGGUUAUUUUAAUAACAUUUGGGAGGAUCCAGGUUCUCUGGGCUGUGGUGCACUGCAGACUCCUAGGCCAGCAGCCAGGAAACUGCAUCUGAGGAGAUUUUUCAGUUUCUGGAGAGAAUCAGACCACGGUAACCGGUCCCUGCGCAGUUAGGGGCCAGGUGGCUCACUCUUGUAAGGAUGGGAAUAAUGGAUUUUUUUGUCACCAGGGCUUGGAUCUUUAGAGAAGCUCUUCUAAACCCGCCCACCACACCCCCCACCCCGUUCUGGUCACGUGGUGCUCAUAAACCUUUUCAAGGGUAGAGCUUUCUUUUCCUUAAUUACUUUUGUAGAGUUCACUCAGCUUUUCUCUUUUCUGCCUUUAACUGGUUCAGGCGAGUAUCCCCGCCCCUCGGACAACUACCACCCCGACCCUCGUUUCCCAGCCCCGCAACUCCUCUGACCUGGGAGGUUUCAGGGCCUUUGACUGCGGUUCCCGGGCUGGGCCACUGACUGCUGACUCUCCCAGGAUGUCCGAUGCGGCACCUGCGGCAUAGGGUAGUUUUUGGGUCCCCACAGGACCCCAACUUGUGUCUUUUAUACCCAGAUCUGCACCACGCGAUCUCGCAGGAUGCAGACCUGCAGCUCCUUCCGGAAUUGGGUACUCGCCAUUCGGACUUAGUCUUUUUAGCUCAAUUUGCCUGGCAUCACUCGAGUACUCAGUUAAAACAGAAUCUUUCCACUUCACACCUCUAACCACGCCCACUAACCACGCCCACCCCACACACUUCCGCAACAACCACCUAAUGGCCAUCCUACUUCUGUUUCCGGGUGAGUGGCCCCACACCGCGGAAGCCAGUCCCUCCAACCCCAGCUCUGGUUGUCUUUCCUUACUGCAAUUUUGCCUUAGGUGAAGUCAUUUCCGAAUCUUAGAUUUAGACUGAGGGAAGUCAGUGGUCAAGCCUUUGCUACUAGCCCAGAGCUGAAUUCAUCCCACGAUAUACUGCUUUCACCACUAGAUGGUGGUCUUGUCCGUUUACUAACUCAAUACUAGGGUUGUGUUCUGUGACUCAAGCUAAAGGUGCUGUGAGGUGAAACAGAUUUCUAUUGGAUCCAGAGAUUUUUGUGUCCCAGAUGCAGAAAAUAAGGUCUAUAUAUGUCUUAAAAAAAAAAAUCAGUUAAACCACCUAGCCUAUAGCUUUGGGAACACUGAAGAAGAAGAGGUGAUUAUGAAAUAAGGUAAAGAGAAGGAAGGGCUAAAAUACACCAUUCUUUAGACUCCAUACAACGAUUGUAAUCGGUAACCAAUAGCAACGGUACUUACACACACUAGCUUCUCACAAGACAACAGUCAGUCUAGAAAAGGGAAAGGCCACACUUUACCUCCUCAGAGGCUGGCCAAGUAUUGCAGGAUAUUUAAUCACAUUGUGAAUCUGGGAUUGUGCUAUAGUGUGGCUCUGCUCUUAACACACAGCUUUAAUCCCUCUGGCUGGAAUGGAGACACAACCUUAGUACACUGAUUUAAUCCCAAACAAAGAAGGUAAAGCUAGUUUGUAGAAGAAAGCACCCAUGUCUGAAAGUGAUGUCUAAUUGAUGGGUAGACAAACUGAGUAAUCAGAGAAAGAUGUGACAGAAUAGGAUAUACCCAACUUUCACGGGAAGAGGGAGAAAUGGGAAGAUAUGUAAGGGGCAGUGAGAAAGGAAGGAGUCAGUUUUUACUGGGAGAGUUUUACAGAGACAGGUUGAAGAGAGAAUAAGCUACAUGCAGGUGAAGACAGAAAAAGGCAGAGAAUGAGAAGGAGCCAGAAGAUCAGAACAUAUUCCCCAAAUUAGUAUGAAGCCAGGCAGAGGCAAUCAGUAGAGGCCAAGAGAGAGAAGCUAGAUUGAAUCAGUCGCCUUGGAGAAGGGCUUGAGUCAGAACAGCUGAGUAGAACCAGCCAGCAAGAGAUCAGAAAAAACAGAGAAUGGGUGAGAUUAUUCAGCAGCAAGACUCAGAAGCUGAAAAUAUUCUAGGCCUAGAUUGGACUGUAUGGAGGCUAGAUGCAUCCAGGUCUAGGUCUAGGUUAGUAGAUGGAAGUAGUAAGCCUCGGAGAGACCAAUCACUUUAGGUGAAUAAAAAAUAUAUUCAUAGCCUUGGAUAGAUUCUAGGAUUAGACUUGCUCCCUUUAAUUGUUAUCCUGUGCCGAGCACAUCACAUAACUCCAAACCCACAGUCUCACAAAUGACUCUGGUUAAUCUCAGUGGGUCCCAAGCAAUAAGAAUAGAUAUGAACACUACAGAGAAUUGUUGCUAUUAUGGACCAAAAUAGCAAAGAAAUAGGAGGUGAAAGUGGGCAAUAUUUCACACAUAAACAUACAUACACAGAACAGGCAUGUACUCUGUGUUUGUGUGUGUGUACAUAUGUGAAAUAGCUAUUGAGUACAAAUUUUACAUGAACACGACAGUCUGUAAUUUCUUUUUGGUUUUAUCAUUAUCUGGUUUAAUAUAAGGUAACACAGUCAAGAAUUCUUCCUGUUUUUUGUAGCCUUGGUGUUAGAACUUCUUUGAAGGUUUGCUAGACUUCUGUUCCUGGGAUUGCCUUAUGAUGUGGUGGUGGCGGUAGAUUUUUAUUACUCUUUCAGUCUCAUUGCUACUCUAUUUACAUUAUGUAAGUAGUGUUGUUUAAAUUGGAUAUGUUCUAUGCACAUGGAAAUGAAUAUAUAACAAUUGGAGUCCCAAAUGAGUGGAAUAGUAGAAAUAAGAUCCAGUUCAUAACUCAUGUCUAUCAAUUAGGUUGUACAGUUAUCUUGGGUAAUUGCCAAAACAUAAUAAGAAAAAGUUAUGUGUAGCUGAGCAAGGCCAUGUAAGCUUUCAGAAACAGCACUCAGGAGACAGAAGCAGGGGAAACUCAAGGUCAAGGUCAAGGUCAACCUGUUCUACAUAGUGAGAUCAGACAGGUGGCAAUAUAAAUUUAAGCAAAUUCUUCCUUUUAUGAUACCAGAGGCACAAUGCAAGCUUCCAACCAAGGGAGUCACCCAACAGUUUUACACAGAAUAAUGCCUAUGAAACACAUCAAAGAUCCCCAUGGCACCAUGUCAGGGUAACUCUGUAAUUAUGGGCGCAUUAGUGGCAACCACACUUCAGUGGUAACCAACAGCUCUCUAAUUGAUCUUAAGACACCCUUAAGGACAGAAAAAUUCAUGGUUGGUCCUGGAAAGUCACUCCCUACGCAAUGCACGUGAAGUCAUGUAUCUUGGAGAAUCUACAACCACAUUAUUAAACCUGCACAAUGCCUCACUGAAAUCUAAACACUGUUUCUUGUGUCCACAAAUAAGCAUAGUCCUGACUCCUUAUCAUGAAACUUCUGUUUACUAUAGAGACACUACAAAAAACUCAUAACUCAAGUUUGACCCAAAUUUAUCCUCUUUACAAGAAAUACAGGGAUGGAAAUGGAGUAGAAAUGAGGGAAUGGCCAACCAAUAUCCUGCCCAACUGGAGACCCAUCCCAUGGGAAGUUCCUACUCUGAAUCUUCAGAUGUGGGUUCACAACCUGAAGUAAAUAUAGUAACCCAGGAAAGAAGACUCCCAAAACAUCACAGGCUAUUGCAGUUGCCCAUGGUUGCCUUCUGUAACUAGAUGAAAGACAUCCUGAAAGUAUCAAGGAACAGCACAGAGCUGGAAAAUACCAAGAGGAUCACACCUAGCGGUGAUCUCACAGUAUAUUACAGUCACAGCAAUGGAAACCACUUGGGAUUGUCAUGACAACAGGCAAUAGGAGGUGUCCCUGGGAAGACAGGAUGGACAGACUUUACCUGACUGCAAAUACAGUUCCUGAUCUUAUCAAAA